CUUGGGGUGUGAGCAUGGCAUAACCAGCACCCCAGACAUGUGACACACAGAGACCAAGGGAGAGAAGUGAGCAAGGCUUGUGUGACAAGCUGGGGCCAGUGACAAGGGCUGUCCCGAAGCUGAGGAUUCUUUUUCAAUGCAGAAGCUACCAGAGAUGGCUUAGGGCCUUCCCACAUGCACCAUGAUGCCAUCCGAUCUUUUGGGAGUGUGUUUCAAGUUCUUUGCUGUCUGCUCUGCCUCAGUGACUUCCAGAAUCUCAGCCAAGCUGGAAUACUAUGGUUGCUAUUGGACAGCUGGCUACCACAUUGGUUAACAGCAGCUUUCAUGAGGCUUUUUGUUGUUGUGGAGCCACUGCUGUGAUGUUUCACAGCCAUUCAUAAGAAGAGCAUAUGGAAGGCCCUCAGCAAAAUAAAUGGCAUCACCCAGGUGGGAAAGGUCAGCUGCUGUGAGGAGCCCACCUGCUCAGUGCUGGUCUCAUCCGAGACACCUGCAGACCAUGCUUUUUCUGAGACCCGUGACUGAGUCAAGUUGACACAUGGAAGUCAACGAACAGAAGAAUUUCUUA